GCCGUUUUUGCACAACUGUAUGAAUUCGUCGGUCGUUAAAGUUGCGUCGGUUGUGGUUUUAUUCAUAACUUCGCGUUUUACGAUAAAAUAAUCGCCGCUUGUACUUAGUUUUCCGUUAAACUAAAGUUGUGUACUGUGAUUUAUCAGUUUUAUAUAUUUACUACCUCUGAUUAGAUAUUAUUGUUACGAUUUAACGAAACGAACAUUAUGCACAGCCAUUUUGAACUUUACCUUCACCAAUUUUGAAGAUGUAAUAUUAUUUUACCUCGGGCUAAACGAGUUCAAUGACUUGUACUGGAAUGGUCACAACACGCAUCGAAAAUAAGUACCUACUUGCCGUAUUCUUGCAACCCGAGAGCGCUACAUUGCUAGUGCAGUAUCUUCUAUAGUGCAAUCGUCAGACGGAUGGUGUUGUUGUUGCUAUUCUACGCCGCUCGCAGUGUUUACAUUACGCGCAUUCCAGUCUUAUCGCCGGUCGACUGGCGUGCGGUUCAUUCUCUUGAUUCCGUGAAUCGCGCAUGUUAUAUUCGGUGUUCAGUGCAAAGAUUUAUUGUUUCGUGGGUGUUUUGUGUUCACCAAUUUAUGCAAAUUAUAUUCGUCAUCCGCAGAAGAUAGAACCGCUUGAAUAAUUUUACUAAUCGGAGUAUUAUCACAGGUAAUCAACAUUUUAAUAUAUUAUUACCGCUGGAUUCGUAUUUAGUAGUACAUUCGCCGGCACGUGACUAAGGAAUACUUGCCGACGGACCGCAGAUUGUUCCUUUCUUGAAAUUAAAUAUGUUGCAUUAUCGAAUACUGUUUAUCAUUCCUGAUUAUCACAUUCGAAUGAAUUUUCGGUCGCAGUCAAAUUUAUUCACCUACAAGCUGUAUAUUUUUAUUUUGAAUAAUAUUUAAUUGAAUACAGUGCAAUAUAAUGACGAAUAUUAAGCGCGGAAAGUAAAUUGGUUUGGUAUUUAUUCAAAUUAUUCCUAAAAUCAAAUAUUAUUGUAGAUUUAAAACUAGUGACCGUCUGAGACCUUACACAACACGCAUUUUAUCUAAAACUCUCCGAAUAGAACGUAGAUUGCGCUAGGAUGCACAAAAUUGAAUAAUAUUAAGCAGGUGCAUGUGUCUGUUUGUGGCACUCGUGUACGUGUGAGCUCGCGCUGCAUGCUGCAUGCAUACUAUUUGCACGUUCUUUUCUGCUAGCGCUUUUAGUUCCCAUUUGUCCUUAUGAAUUAUUUCAUCUCUUAGAUUUCCAAUUUAACCAGCUUAGCUAAUAGAGAAUGGGAGUCACUUCUACCACUACUUUUGUACCGCUACUUUCGUGGAUUAUAAAACUAUUUUAUAGCUUUUUAUAUAACUUAUUCUAUAAUUUUUUUAUAGAACAAGAUAAUAAAAUAUAUUAAGUUCAAAAAUAAUCGCUAAAAGUGCAAAGAGGAGAGAUUUUACGUGUUUUUCCCAGAUUUUUUGGAAAAUCUUCCAAUAAUUUUAAUAAUCUACACAAUUUACUUUCUUAUCGCUUUCGCCGCGUGGAAUGCAUUGCAAGAGAUUCACGAGUGUUGUCGUUGCAAUCUCCUCACGCCGCGUGCAGCAUAUUCUAGUUUAGUUUACAUCACUUGUAUUGUGCCUAUUGCCAUUCGCGCACAAGGUCGCGUGCCAUCGACGCACUAGAUUUGCGCAUCCCUUACUUUUUUAUUGUUAAUUGUCGCGUCGUUGUUUGCUCGGCUACGGCUUGCGCUAUCAAUUUGUUUGCAGCCAGUUUCGUACCGUUCGCUGGUAGGUUUAGACGUGUUUUGCGCGAUUCGUAUAGUUUGUUCGGACUUCUGCAUUCUAAAUUUGCAUUUUCAUUAAAUUCUCCGUCGGGUGGUAUUUAACUGUUGCAGGAAUUCGACCCGCAACCCUCGAAUAUUUGCAUAUAAGAGUAAUUUUUUAACCCUUUUUUGUGAAAUGAUUGUGUUUUUUUGGGUUUGCUCGCGACCUAGGCGACGUAGUAACUCCAGCGUGGGGUUUAGAGAUGCGGAAUUAAAUUCUUUAUUGGGUGGUAUUUACUUGUUGAAGGAAUUCCACACGCAACACUCGAAAAUUUACAUAUAAGAUUAAUUUUUUAACGCUUUUUCGUGAAAUGUUUGGGUUUUUUCGGGUUUGCUCGUGACCUAGGCGGCGUAGCAACUUCAUCGUGGCGUCUAGAGGUGCGGAAUUAAAUUCUCCGUUAGGUAGUAUUUAAUUGUUGCAGGAAUUCGUUCUGCAACGCGCGAAAAUUUGCAUAUAAGGUUAAUUUUUUAACGCAUUUUCGUGAAAUGUUUGUGUUUUUCCGGGUUUGCUCGUGACCUAGGCGGCGUAGAAACUCCAUCGUGGCGUCUAGAGGUGCGGAAUUAAAUUCACCGUUAGGUGGUAUUUAAUUGUUGCAGGAAUUCGUUCUGCAACAUGCGAAAAUUUGCAUAUAAAAUUAAUUUUUUAAAGCUUUUUCGUGAAAUGUUUGUGUUUCUUCGGGUUUGCUUGUGACCUAGGCGGCGUAGAAACUCCAUCGUGGCGUCUAGAGGUGCGGAAUUAAAUUCUCCGUUAGGUGGUAUUUAAUUGUUGCAGGAAUUCGUUCUGCAACACGCGAAAAUUUGCAUA